rnacentral:tRNA from 1 species
GAUAGCUCAGUCGGUAGAGCAAUCGGCUGUUAACCGAUCGGUCGUAGGUUCGAGUCCUACU